rnacentral:rRNA from 1 species
GAUGAACGCUGGCGGCGUGCCUAAUACAUGCAAGUAGAACGCUGAAGGAAGGAGCUUGCUCUUUCCGGAUGAGUUGCGAACGGGUGAGUAACGCGUAGGUAACCUGCCUGGUAGCGGGGGAUAACUAUUGGAAACGAUAGCUAAUACCGCAUAACAGUAGAUGUUGCAUGAUAUCUACUUAAAAGGUGCAAUUGCACCACUACCAGAUGGACCUGCGUUGUAUUAGCUAGUUGGUGAGGUAACGGCUCACCAAGGCGACGAUACAUAGCCGACCUGAGAGGGUGAUCGGCCACACUGGGACUGAGACACGGCCCAGACUCCUACGGGAGGCAGCAGUAGGGAAUCUUCGGCAAUGGACGGAAGUCUGACCGAGCAACGCCGCGUGAGUGAAGAAGGUUUUCGGAUCGUAAAGCUCUGUUGUAAGAGAAGAACGAGUGUGAGAGUGGGAAGUUCACACUGUGACGGUAUCUUACCAGAAAGGGACGGCUAACUACGUG